CUCAAGAGCGGGAAAAGAGAGGAAAAAACCUCCCUCGAGGGAAAAAAAUAAUAAUAAAAUGUCGAACAAAUUAAUUAGUGAAAUGAAUCUACCUCAAUCGAUCGCCAACAUCUUCGCUGCUCGCAACAUUUUAACCGCCAAGGACGCCCUCUCUCUGCCAGAGAUCGAUCUGAUGUCUCUACUCGAUGUCGGUCUUAAGGAAGUGAAUCUAGCCAUUGCAAGGAUCAGCGAGGUCGCUUGCCCUCCGUAUCAAACUGCGUUUAGUCUGAUGGAGGAUCGAGUAAGGAAAGAGGCAUUUGGUGGCCAUUUGUCGACGAGCUUGGUGGGUCUUGAUAAUGUUUUGUGUGGUGGGAUCCCAUUCGGGGUUCUUACGGAGUUAGUUGGGCCUUCGGGAAUUGGUAAAACACAGUUUUGUCUAAAGCUCUCACUGCUAGCAGCCUUGCCUGCUAGUUAUGGAGGUUUGAAUGGCCGUGUUAUAUACAUUGACACAGAAUCAAAAUUUAGUUCGCGCAGGAUGAUAGAGAUUGGAGAAAACAGUUUUCCUCAGAUAUUUCGGUCAGAAGGCAUGGCACAAGAGAUGGCUGGUAGAAUAGUAGUUCUACGACCAACAUCCCUUUCUGAAUUCACCGAAAGCUUACAUCAGAUGAAACUGAAGCUUCUCCAGCACGAAGUUAAGUUGCUAGUUAUUGAUAGCAUGGCUGCUCUUGCUCUUCUUACAGGGGAAAAUGAAAGAUCUAUGGGGACUUCUAGGCAAAGUUCAUUAAGAUUGCCUCUUCCGUUUCUCAAGUCACUUGCUGAAUUUUCACGAAUUCCUAUUGUUGUGACCAAUCAAGUACGGAGUCAAAGCGGUGAUGGAUCCUUUCACUAUUCAUUCCAAGGACAGAAUUCAGAUUUCAGAAUCUCCGAGAGGCUUGAAUCUCAUUUAACUGCUGCUCUGGGGAUCCAAUGGGCGCACGCUGUUACCAUUCGUCUUGUCUUUGAGGCUCAUUCAGGUCAGAGGUUUAUAAAGGUGGCAAAAUCUCCGAUCUCUCCACCUUUAGCAUUUCCAUUUAUUGUUAGUUCAUCAGGGAUUUCAUUAUUAAGUGAUGAUGGCAUUGAAAUCAUGGGGCAAGAGAUAAGCACAAUUCACUGUCUAGGCCAGAACAUUCUUGACAUGUAAGCUAAAAUCAUCAUAUGAUGCGCUGAGAGCAGGAGUCCACUCUAAAUGCCAAUGCCACAGACAUUCUCGGCAAGUUGUGUCAUAUUUCAUCAAAGUUCAGUGUAUUGCUUACUGUGAGAUAUAGAAGCUCUUUACAAAAUCUUUUUUCUGACUGUGUUGAGAAGUCUGGCCUUUAGAAUAGAGGCAGAAGCAGGUUAGACAAAAGGCAAGAGCUCAAAGGAAGUGUCUGGGUAAACAUAAUGGUUCAGUUGCUUUCCUAGGUCUUUUUCAUGCGUAUCAGCAAAAACAAUGAUAAAACUUGUAAU